UGGCCGUUCGGGGGUGUCCAAACUUUUGACCCGUGGCUCCAUUACACACAGUACUGGGGGGCCGGGGUGUCCAAACUUUUGACCCAUGGCUCCAUUACACACAGUACUGGGGGGGGCCGGGGUGUCCAAACUUUUGACCUAACGCUGAUUUAUCCCAUAGCUGCUCCAUACACUCACAGUACUGGAGUUCUAGCUACCUGUCCUUCGAUCUAGCUGCCGUCCUCUGAUUGGCCCCAUUCAUUCCAAUGGGGCCACUUCGUACGACAUUCGUACGAAAUCCGUACGUCGUAACUUUUCGUAACGCAUAUUUUCGGAAAGAGCUCAAUAAGUUCUACAGGUCCUCAAUUGGUUUCAUCUUCGUAUUUCAAAAAUUGCGACGUCCACGGGCGUGCAAAGUUCUGCCCAUUCAUUUUCAAUGGGCAAAAAAACGCGUACUUACGAAGUUUUUACGAAAAACGUAAGUCCGAUCGGAAAGCUGUAUACAAGCCCACCAUUCCCGAUAUGGACGCACGUUUUCUCUUUUGAACGAAGUCGAUAUUUCGAAAACUGCGGCACUAGUUAACCGGACAAAAAACAGGUGGAAUAAUAAGAAGAAGAAGAAGAAGAAGAACUAGAUUGCAGUUCCUGCAGAAACUGCGAGUGUGAUUGCAGUGCUGGCUGGUAUCUGCUAAGGUGUUGCUAGGUGGUUGCUAAGGUGUUGCUAGGUGGUUGCUAAGGUGUUGCUAUGGUAUCCGGGGUGGUUGCUAGGGUGUUGCUAGGUGGUUGCUAAGGUGUUGCUAUGGUAUCCGGGGUGGUUGCUAGGGUGUUGCUAGGUGGUUGCUAAGGUGUUGCUAGGCGGUUGCUAAGGUGUUGCUAGGCGGUUGCUAAGGUGUUGCUAUGGUAU